rnacentral:rRNA from 1 species
UAGGGAAUCUUCCACAAUGGGCGAAAGCCUGAUGGAGCAACGCCGCGUGUGUGUUGAAGGGUUUCGGCUCGUAAAACACUGUUGUAAGAGAAGAAUGACAUUGAGAGUAACUGUUCAAUGUGUGACGGUAUCUUACCAGAAAGGAACGGCUAAAUACGUGCCAG